AGAAUCAACGCUGGCGGCGUGCCUCAGACAUGCAAGUCGAACGCGAAAGUUCCCUUCGGGGGGCAAGUAGAGUGGCGCACGGGUGAGUAACACGUAGGUAAUCUACCUUUGGAUGGGGAAUAACAACCGGAAACGGUUGCUAAUACCGCAUAAUGCAGCGGCACCUAAUGGUGACAGUUGUUAAAGCGGGGGAUCGAAAGACCUCGCGUCUGAAGAGGAGCCUGCGGCGGAUUAGCUAGUUGGUAGGUAACGGCCUACCAAGGCUACGAUCCGUAGCCGGCCUGAGAGGGCGUCGGCCACGACUGACACUGACA
rnacentral:rRNA from 1 species